rnacentral:sRNA from 1 species
UUUUUUUUGCUUGCUU